rnacentral:rRNA from 1 species
UGGUGGAGUGAUUUGUCUGGUUAAUUCCGAUAACGAACGAGACCUCAGCCUGCUAAUUAGUUAUGCGAAUGAUUACAUCCGCAAGGGGAGGGUUCCGGCUUUAGCUCGGGGGCAACUCUGAGAUUCGGUUGGAAAACUCGUUUUCAUUCGUGAGAGUGGGUUGGCUUCGGUCAAACUGCUCGCUAAUAACUUCUUAGAGGGACACUUGGUUUUUAACCAAGGGAAGUUUGAGGCAAUAACA